ACACUGGGACUGAGACACGGCCCAGACUCCUACGGGAGGCAGCAGUGGGGAAUAUUGCACAAUGGACGAAAGUCUGAUGCAGCAACGCCGCGUGGAGGAUGACACAUUUCGGUGCGUAAACUCCUUUUAUAUAGGAAGAUAAUGACGGUAUCAUAUGAAUAAGCACCGGCUAACUCCGUGCCAGCAGCCGCGGUAAUACGGAGGGUGCAAGCGUUACUUCGGAAUCCACUGGGCGUAAAGAGCGUGUAGGCGGGUUGAUAAGUUUUGAAGUGAAAUUCCUAUAGCUUAAACUAUAGAACUGCUUUGAAAAACUGUUAACCUAGAAUAUGGGAGAGGGUAGAUGGAAUUUCUGGUGUAGGGGUAAAAUCCGUAGAGAUCAGAAGGAAUACCGAUUGCGAAGGCGAUCUACUGGAACAUUAUUGACGCUGAGACGCGAAAGCGUGGGUAGCAAACAGGAUUAGAUACCCUGGUAGUCCACGCCCUAAACGAUGUACACUAGUUGUUGUGAGGCUCGACCUUGCAGUAAUGCAGUUAACACAUUAAGUGUACCGCCUGGGGAGUACGGUCGCAAGAUUAAAACUCAAAGGAAUAGACGGGGACCCGCACAAGCGGUGGAGCAUGUGGUUUAAUUCGACGAUACACGAAGAACCUUACCUGGACUUGACAUAGUAAGAACUUUCUAGAGAUAGAUUGGUGUCUGCUUGCAGAAACUUAUAUACAGGUGCUGCACGGCUGUCGUCAGCUCGUGUCGUGAGAUGUUGGGUUAAGUCCCGCAACGAGCGCAACCCUCGUCAUUAGUUGCUAACAGUUCGGCUGAGAACUCUAAUGAGACUGCCUACGUAAGUAGGAGGAAGGUGAGGACGACGUCAAGUCAUCAUGGCCCUUACGUCCAGGGCUACACACGUGCUACAAUGGGGUAUACAAAGAGCAGCAAUACGGUGACGUGGAGCAAAUCUCAAAAAUAUCUCCCAGUUCGGAUUGUAGUCUGCAACUCGACUACAUGAAGUUGGAAUCGCUAGUAAUCGUAGAUCAGCUAUGCUACGGUGAAUACGUUCCC
rnacentral:rRNA from 1 species